CAUGCGCCUAUGAUGAAGCCAAUACGGAUGUAAAUGAGCUUUGCUCGCUGUCCGAGAGCGCAAAACCCCAUGUGGAUCCCUCCGUUGCCUUCCUUCUGACUCUUCGG
rnacentral:snoRNA from 1 species